GAUGAACGCUGGCGGCGUGCCUAAUACAUGCAAGUCGAGCGUACGGACGAGAAGCUUGCUUCUCUGAUGUUAGCGGCGGACGGGUGAGUAACACGUGGAUAACCUACCUAUAAGACUGGGAUAACUUCGGGAAACCGGAGCUAAUACCGGAUAAUAUUUUGAACCGCAUGGUUCAAAAGUAAAAGACGGUCUUGCUGUCACUUAUAGAUGGAUCCGCGCUGCAUUAGCUAGUUGGUAAGGUAACGGCUUACCAAGGCAACGAUGCAUAGCCGACCUGAGAGGGUGAUCGGCCACACUGGAACUGAGACACGGUCCAGACUCCUACGGGAGGCAGCAGUAGGGAAUCUUCCGCAAUGGGCGAAAGCCUGACGGAGCAACGCCGCGUGAGUGAUGAAGGUCUUCGGAUCGUAAAACUCUGUUAUUAGGGAAGAACAUAUGUGUAAGUAACUGUGCACAUCUUGACGGUACCUAAUCAGAAAGCCACGGCUAACUACGUG
rnacentral:rRNA from 1 species